rnacentral:tRNA from 1 species
GGGAGUAGCUCAGGGGUAGAGCGCCACGUUGCCAACGUGGUUGUCGAGGGUUCAAAUCCCUUCUCCC